GUUUUUGGUUCGGCUUUGAAGCUUGUUUUUUGGUUAUAACUUGAUUAUCCUUCAAUACAGAUGGAAGGUUAAAUAUGAUGAUGAUUUGCUGGUGCCUUAAAAGGACUUUUCCUGAUACUGCAUCUUUCAUAAUCCCAAUAUCUUUCAAUCAUCAACAUGAUACUUCAUACAUUUCUUUGGGUAGAAGCACAGUUUCUUUAGCCAGAGAAAGGGGCUCAAAAUUGAGAUCUGUACCCAUUAUCUCCUUCUUUGACAAAGACACCCAGUUGAAAUUAUAGAGGGGCUUACAAAUGAUAACCAAAGUCUAAGAAAAAAAUGUAUG
rnacentral:lncRNA from 1 species